rnacentral:lncRNA from 1 species
CACUUUUUAUAGCUGUGCCUUCAAUUUUUUGUCUGUCUAGAAGACCGCAUAUGUUAUACAUAACAGCUGAAGAAACAAUUGAAGUGCUACUUUGCAUUCUCAGCCAGGUUAAUUAUCAUCCAGACACCUCCUUUCUGUUGCUGCAGAAAUCAGAAACAAGCACACCAUUUUUUCUCAUUGGGAAAUAAAUACAGACCCUUUUAUGUGGGCUUUAAUUCACUUAAAUUAUUAUCUCAGACAGAAAAUCAGAACAUGGAAGGACAGAGACUGAGGGAAAUCAAAGGAAGGACAGAAACACAGAGAUGGAUGUGUGGAAAGGACUCUUCAUGUUUUCAGGCUAUACAGGACAAAGCAGCCUGGGGAGCCUUCUCUGCCACUACAUGAUGUUGUUUAACUAGAGUUUAUCACUCUUAGCUACCAGGACACCAAAGCACAACUUAAUACCAAAACCAAGGGAGAGGUGAUGGCUUCUUUGGAAUGUUUUGUAUCCCAGACAGACCCACUGAACCUGCCAGCUCUUCCAGGGCACAUUUGAAGACUGUGAGGAUGGGCGGUAGCAGGCUUGCACAAUACAGGGUGCAGGGAAAAGAAAUAUCACAAGGAGAAAAAAAACCAACCCUCUUCAAUGACAAAUGACCCAAUUUGUUCCUCCCCAGUAACUGUGGCAACUUGGUAGAGCUUUGCAAAUCUCUGUCAUUGCUGCUGCUGUGAAUUGGUUGCUUUAAAUGGAUCCUCACUUUUCUUAAAGCCAGGCAUGGCAAAUUGCCUGUAAGUAGUUUUGGGUCAGGUACACCAAUUUUCAGCCUGGAGUUGCAAUUAUUUUUUCCAGUUUCCACUUACUCUCACAUAGCCUCUGCUCAGCUUAGGGAGAGUCAGCAUAUAUAAUAAUUUGCAUUACAAGGAAUGCGAUAGAGCAGUUAGAGAGGAUGGACCUUUCAGAUCAGGUUCCUUUUGGUUUGAUUCUCUUCUGAUACUUUUACUGUGCUUCUCCGGAUCACACCCUCAGCUCCUGCAUUUUGUAGAAUCUGGGCAGCCUUUCAAUUGUCUGACCUUUCAGUAAGCCAUGUUUUCUCCAGAUACUAAAAUUGAAUAUAAUUUCACUCUAUUCAGUAUUAAUAAACUGUAAACAACAUCAUUGCCUAUCCUUGGC